rnacentral:lncRNA from 1 species
UAUAUAUAUAUAUAAACUCAAUACGCAUGUUUCAGGAGAAGAAGCCAACUUUUCGAACUCAAAUUUAAAAAUCCAAUACACAUGGUUCAGGAGAAGGAACAUAUUUUCGAACUUAACCAAUAAAUCGAAUAAAAAUUACUAUUCGACAAUUAAAUGAAUUUCCUAAUGAACUUUAUAUUUGGAUAGACGGAAAACUUACAUUGAUUUUCUUAAAUGGGAGCUUGUAGUUGAUUUGGAAAUGAAGACGACAAAUUUCAAACUCUCCCCUCCACUAAAGACUUCGUUCCCUUUAAAACUUUCCACAGUCUCCAUCCUCAGUAGAAGGAGAAGAGAUGGCUUUAGACUUGAAGGAGAAGAGUUUGAGAAUUGAAGGAGAAGACGGUUUCGAAGCAGAAUAGGUUGAUUUUGAAUUUGAAGGAGAACGUUUUUGGCGUGAAUGAAAGAAAGAAAACUCCCAGUUCCUUCUUCGAUUUCAUUUUACAAGGUAAGGGUCUUUUGACACUUUUAAAUAAUUAAAAUUCCUUUUAUUUUGAUAAUUUCCAUCAAAGGCCGGUUGGAAAAAAAUGUUUUUGAGUGGUGGCCAUUUGAACUCAUUCCUAAAUGGGGGAAGAAAAGGGAAGGAGGCAAGAAAUUGCUUGGUCUUUCAAAGUCGUAUAUCUACUUUGUAUUAAAGAAUAAAGGUGGAUCAAAUGACUACUUCUAUAGUGGGAAAAUCAUUUAAAGCAAUAUGUAGCAGUGAGCAAUAAAGUUCUGGUUAACAAUCAAUGGGCCAAUAAGCUUCAAGACUGCAGAGGUACACAGUUGACAAUAUUGAACACCGCAACACUACAACUCAGCAUAAAAUUAAUCGAAAAACUCAAAAAUGAAAUAUUUUAAUUAAAAAGCUUGUUUCUCACUGUGCAUAAGUACAAAACUCUUAUUCAUCACUCAUUUUCUCUCUGUUAAUAAUCUAAAUCAAUUAUAGUUCUUUCCAGAUAUGCACUAAAAUGUGUAUCAUGGAUAACGUUAAGGAAGAGAAGUAUCAAACUAGGUUAAGA